CCUUUAGCUCAGUUGGUCAGAGCAACCGGCUCAUAACCGGUAUGCCCUGGGUUCAAAUCCCAGA
rnacentral:tRNA from 1 species